UUCUUGAAGACAAACACAAACUUCUCCCUUUCUUGUUCUUUCACUUAAAUAAAGCUUUAAGAAGCUAUUUUAUAUUUCAAUAAAACCUUGUUUUAUAAAUGUUAUCAUGGUAUCAGAGCACCAGGGAGUAAAUCCUUGGGGUUCUAUGGGUUACUAACUCAAUCCUAUCACUAAAGCUCCAACCUUUCUCGUUUUCUCUUCACCCAAGCUGAAAAGAUGAAGUCUUGUGUUUUAAAAUCAGAUAGAACACGAGAGUAAGGUGGUAGAUCUACGAAACAACGACCAAGGCAAGAAGAAUAUGAAGAAGUGUGGUUACAACAAAGGCUCCUAAAAAAAAAAAAAAACAAAAAAAAAAAGAAAAGGAGUAGCGUGGUCAUACCAGGGUGUUCGCCGUAAAGCUGGAAGCUUGGUGGCUUGUUCAUGAGAACGCGAAGACUUGAUAAAGGAAAGGUCUCGGAAAAGAUCUAAUCUCCACUAUGGUCUGAGUUUUCUAUUGGUUCUGAAACCACAAAGGCAGUUUCUACGCUUCUUCACAACAUCAACAUUAUCACACGCCAGUCUCUGUCAAGCUCGAGGAAUAAAAGGUGGUAAUGUUUCUGCAUUUUUCUACUGGAACAGAACAUAGAUAUAACUGUUGCUUGAUAGAGAUUGGUAGAAUAUUGUGGUCGCUUGGUCUGGUGGUUCUGUUGGCUGGCUAGGAUUGGAAUCUGGAGUAAUGCCGGGUAGUCAUAGUUUCAUAGGACAAUGCCAGUAUGGUUUAUUGGUCUGGAACUGGUUAUUGAUGGAAGAUAGAUAGUGGAAGGGAUCUAAGUUGUUGUGGGAAAGUCCCUUUUGUUAUUAGACAAAUUUGAUGAGUUACACGGGUCACAAAAGAACCCGGACUCUUUGUGAGAAAGCAAGGUCACAGUGUACCUCUGAGUGAGAUCGACUAAGCUCUCCAAGUUCAAGAGAAACCUCUGAGUGAAGCCAUGCGAUACUCUCCAAGUAUAGACCAAACCAUCUCUUUUAUGUGGUGAAUUGAAGAUUACACCUAUAGCUCCAUGUGAUCAUUCUUCCACUACUUUUUCCACCAAGCCAUCAUUUGAGGUUCAAACUUGGCUCCGUUGAGAUCCACCUACGCUAAGUUUGCGGGGGAGUAUUGAAGCCCAAAGAAAAGCCCAACCUUAUGAUCCAUUAGAAGCUUUUAGACUAGGGUUACAAACUUCUCCCUUUCUUGUUCUUUCACUUAAAUAAAGCUUUAAGAAGCUAUUUUAUAUUUCAAUAAAACCUUGUUUUAUAAAUGUUAUCAUGGUAUCAGAGCACCAGGGAUUAGAUCUUGGUGUCUCUACGCUUCAUCUCAACUUCUCACAAGCUCCAUCACUCAUCUCUUUUUCCUUUGAAAAAAAAAAAAAAAGAGAGAGAGAAGAACCAGCGACCAAGACAGAUCCUAUUAACACUGUCCUGACCAAAACCCAGACUUGCGUUUUAUUUGAAGAAGCAGGCUUUCCAAGUUGUCUCCUUCCUGUCGGCUAGCACAAAAGCAGGGGAACAAGUUCGAGAUCCUAAUGAAGAAGAAGAAGAGUUAAAGGUGGCAGCUUUAAUCAAAUGACAGCUCCAAAACUGCAAAGCUUGUGGAGUUGGUGCUAUAAAUGACGGUAACGUUUCCCACUUUUCUUGGAGAUAGAACGUGUCAUAUGGCUAGUUUAGAUGAUUUCUGGAUUAGUUAUAGAUCGUGGAAUGAGAAGAAGCUGCUACUGUGAAAAUUGCUUGGUUUGAUGGUUCUGUUGGCUGUCUAAGAGUUAUUGGUAUUGGGUUUCAUGAGAUGUUAUUGCUGCAAGUUUGUUAAGAUGCUCUGGAAAUAAUAUUAAAGAUGUGGCUGAUAACGGGAAAGAGAAUGUUAGAGUUGAAGAAUUUCAGUAGUUGUGGACAUGUAUUCUGUUUGCUAAGUGAUGGUGCAGGACAACCAAGAGUUUUGUGAAGAACAAUGGUUGAAAAUACCUCUGAGAGACUAUACUAAACUCUCCAAGUUCAAGAGAAACCUCUGAGUGAGUCAUGAUAGAUCUCCAAGUAUAGACCAAGAGUUCUCAUCUGGUUCUGAAGUCUACUGUUUUACUCUCACUACAGCUACCUUAGGAGGUGUUUACAUCUGCUCACAUCCCUGUCCAGCCAUCCAAACUCAUUCUCAUGAUCAUUCAAACUUGCCAGCUUCGUUUUCACCCGCUGCCAAGUUUGCGGGGGAGUAUUAGAGCCCAAAAGAAGAAGCCCAAUGCAAUCUUCAGAAACCCAAAGAAAUGACAACAAGUUCCAAGUGUUUAGGGUUCUAGAGUUUCAUAUAAAUAUGACUGUUAUGAGAAUGUGUUUUGUAACCUUGCUGCUCAUAGAAGCAGCCUCCAUCAAAUAGUUUAUGAAAUCAAACGUUUCUUUUAGUUCUUGAAGACAAACACAAACUUCUCCCUUUCUUGUUCUUUCACUUAAAUAAAGCUUUAAGAAGCUAUUUUAUAUUUCAAUAAAACCUUGUUUUAUAAAUGUUAUCAAGCUUAGGCAUGAACAUAAUCCUUUUGCUGAUCAAAAACGUUUCAACGGCCGUCUUCUUCUAUUUCCUCUUCUCGUGAGGUUAUUUUACCUUCUGUAGUAUCUCCGUGGCUAUAGUAUAAGGAACCAUUAGGAUCAGGUGUGGUAGUGUUUAAUUGGUAGAAGUCUCUGAUAACUUCAAAGUCAUAGCUCUGUGAAGGUAGAUACACAUGGAUCACCGGGUACUCUACAAUAGCUACUUUGGCAAGUUGUUUCCUCAAAGAAGCCUUGAUGUCCAGCUCCUUGAAAGUAGCCUUUGCACCCUUCAACAAAAAGAAAGAAAAGUAAAUAAAGUUGCAGAAGAAUGCAACUCGAGAACCAAUAAAGAGGAGGAGGAUAGUGAGUACCUUUUGGAUAAAAAGUUUGAGAGAAAAAAGAUCCACAUCACAAAAAGGCUUGAGCUUAUGAAUCCAAGGGCCUGGCUUAAGAUGAUUCUCUAUCACAGAGCAAAGACUUGUAUCUUCACCAACUCUGGUGAUAAAUUGUUUCAAACGUUAAAUCGAGCAUAAAAAAAAAAAAACAUGAAACUGUAAGUCAAAGAGAAGAUAACUAACUAACUAACCCAUGGUCAACAAUAACCACAUCUGUAGAGUGGAACCGCCACUCAAUUGUCCAAGAGAUGCACUUACUCCUGAAACAAAACAAAAACAUCAACAGAUUGGUCAAAAUCAUUACAUUGAGAGUCAUAAUGAUUAAUUUACCGGUUAUCAUAUCGACUCUGGUUCCUUUCCCGGUUCAACAUUCCACUAGAAAGAAACAGUAGAUUAGUACUUCCCCUAGCCGCAGCUGCUCGAAGUUUACUACGCUGAGAUUCCUUAAAGUAAGGAUUUUUACAUAUCUGAUCUCUCAUUCUCUUAGCAGACUCUGCUACUCUCUUUGUCUCCUCCAGCAUUCUAUAGUCUUAUCAUAGAACAAGAAAGUAUUACAGGAGAUCAAAAGUAUCAAACUUUUAAUGUGAAAUUAUGUACCAGAGAGAAGGAGAUUAUCGUCGAAGUGUGAGAGAGUAACGAAGUCUGUGAGCUUCCUCUUGCCUGUACAACCUGUUCGCUGCUUGUGAGCUUUCACACAAGGAAGCCCACAGGAACGGAUCGAACAUCCUGGACACUUGUACUUCCAUGGUUUCAACUUGCAUUCCCCACAGACAGAACUAUUAUCCAUUGUCCCUCGUGGUCCUCGCCAAGGUUUCGGAGAGGCGUUAGGGUUUUUGGAAAAUAUGUAAUUAUGUUUUUGACCCCAGACUUCUAAAAGUUAAAUCAAGAUUUAGGGGGCUAUUCAGAUCUUAUUUUAAGUUUAUGGGUUAUUUAGAGAUUAUUUAGAGGUUACUUAGAUGUCCUUGAAUCCUUCCAAUUUUUUACUUUAAUUAUUUCAGCAGUUUAUUUCUUAUGUAUCUUUUCUGAUGAAGAAAGAUUUUAGGGGUGUUCAAUCCGGUCCGAACCAACUAAAAUUGAACUACACUGCAAUAGAGAAAUUGGUUUGGAUUUGGUAAUAGUAAACAUAUGGAAUGAAUGUUAUUUUUAAGAAGCCGGAGUAUAUGGAUAUGACUUAGUUUAUAAACUGAUCAAACCGAAUAAACCGAUAAACUAAAAUAUAGUAAUCUAAUUAUAUGUAAAUUUUAUAAUACAAUUAAUAAUACAUACAUAAUUUAUUUUAUUGAUGUGAUCUUCAUACUUAAAAUGUUAAUUUUUAGUAAUUUAAUAUUUUGUUUUAAGUUAAAAUUUAUUUUCUUCUUUUAUCAAAUUAAACAAAAAACAUUUGUUACUUUUUUUCUUGACAAAUAUGUGUGCUAAUAUUUAGUUAUUUAAUAAAUAUUAUGGAUUACUAAUUUUUCUUAUUUUUAUUCUAUAAAAACUAUUAUUAAUAACUUAACAUGUUUACUAAUUAUCUAAACAGUUAAAGAAAAAAAAAGAAAAAAAGUUUAUUUAAAAACCGAAAUACUUUAAUGUUGUAUUAAAGCCGAUAUCAUGUAAAGUGAAAUUCAUAAAAUAUAUUUAUGGUUUUUUUGGUAUAAAACGGAAUAAACCAAAAACCGAAGGUAUAUAAACCGAACCGAUAUUCAAAUUGAACACACUUCUUUGUGUUUGUUCCCCAAGUGUGGUUUUGGUGAAGAAUUUUUGCUUGUUGUGAGCAUAUCAGUUUUUCCCAGAUAUGUUCUGAUGUCGAAGAGCUUUUUUAUAGAAUCCAGCCAUAGGUCUGGCUGCUAAAGGCUUGAUCUUUCGAUUCAUCCUGCUCCGGGGGAAGAUAACAGAAGUUUUAAUGUUAUGUCUGAGUUUCAAGAAGACUUCAAGGACGAGUAAAAAAUCUGGCGAGGAGGACAGUGUUGCGGACGUUGACGUAGUUGCUACCAUCUGCAACCGUUGUGUUUGAAUGAGCCGGGCCCUUAGCGUAAGAAUUUUUAAACUUUGAUUGUAUUUAGUACGGUCGAAAUAGACUUUGUUUUGUCAAUCUCAAACCCACCCACCUAAAAUCUAAUUUACAUAUUGCCCCCUGAAAGAAAGUCAAAUUGCUCAACUCAUCGUCUUUUUCUGCUCCUCUCGCCAAAUCGCCAUUAACGCGGCCUCUUUACCCUCUCGCCGUCGGUUUUCCACCACCCUGUGACGCUUCCGUCGCUGAUCGGCUCAGAUCUCCGUGAUCCUCUUCAAUUCCUAUAUAUUUAUACGCGAACCAGAUAAAGGAAGUUUGCUUUUGUUUUUCUUCUCUGCUGGGAGCAACCAUGGGGUCGUCUUGCGAGAUCAUCGAUCUCUCCACUAGCGCUCGGAGAAUAACCGUAGACAAUCGUAUCUCUCUCAAAUUUUACUUCAGAAUCGCUGAUAAUAUCCUCAAACAGGUACUCCACUUUUGAUUUUGAUUUAGGGUUACUUGCUCUCUUUGAUUUCUAAAAUCUGGUUACCGUUGAGCCUGGGUCGCUUGACCUCGAUGCUUAUAUAGUCUUAGCUUCGAAGCACAAGCUGUUAAUAGUUACAUAACAAAAAUCUCUACAUAUACCAUAUCUUAUGUUUUUGUAACUGUUAGAACUGCACCCGCACCCUAAUUACCAUUAGGAGCCUUAGUGGAAUUCGAGACUUAGUUCUUAGGCCAUUGCUCCAUAUUUGUGGUUAUCUUCAUCUUUGUUAGCUUGUGGUAGUGAUUCCUUGUUUAAGAUUUGUUGUUCUCUCUGAAGCUCGUAUUAAUAUGCAUAAACGUUUUUGUAGGCCAACAUAUUUCGUGCUGAGAAGAAUGUAAUUGAUUUAUACGUCAUGCUUCUGCGUUUCUCGAGGUGAGUGACAACUAUACACGAGAAUGAAAGGCUGCUGACACUCGUUGAAUACAGAACAAGAUCCUACUACUAAAAAUGAAAUUAACAUUAUUUUUGUUUGUAACUAGCUUGGCUCUCGAGACUAUACCCUCCCAUCGAGAUUACAGAACUUCUCUUAAAAGCAACAAAGAGUAUUUGAGAAUGGUAAUGUGUUUAUAUAUAUCCUUCUGAGCCUUCCUUGUCAAUGUUGAUGUUUUUUUCUGUCAAUCGGUAGUUAAAUGUGAGCAUUUUUUGUAUAUUGUAGAGACUAUUGGAUGUAUUGACCGAGCUGGAGAAGUUGAAACCAGUUGUACAGCAAAGGAUCGAUGAACUCAAUCCCAAGCCUUUACCUCGAUAUAGUGUGCAUGCUCAUCCAGCAAAUGGUACUCCACGCUGGUCUUCGGCUGUAAAACCAUCGUUAACUAGCUAUGAUCAUACUAAGGUGUGCUUAAUGCUCUACUCGUAGUUGUCACAUAUGCCAUGCAUACAAUUAUUUCUACUAAAUAUGCAUUAUUUUCCACUCUUGUUUGUUUCUGAAACUUUUGGUUUCAAUUAGUAAAAGAUGACGUUAUGAUGCGAAAUUUUAAGCUUCAGUAGAUAAACGUUUCCUGCUCCUUUUUGUGUUGCUCUUGUUCGGCAUAGGUACUAAAUCCUUCUGGACAUAAUUUUGGCUACAUGGGUUCCAGGGGCCAGCAACUCUUGAACGCUGCACCACUUGAAGAGCGUUUCCGAAAGAUGUAUGUCUUCAAUUUUACUUCUUGAAGCUGUCCUCAAUCUUAAGCUAUAUUUCUUACACUGGUUUCCUGAUCCUGUCUCAUACUUUGUUUAUUUGAUGCACGAUUUUCUAGGUCAGUUAACUUGAUGCGGCCAACAGAGGAAACCCUUUCUAAGCAUUCUAUCUUGGGUCCAGGUGGACUCCGUGCACAGUGGCAGCCUCCCAAGACUGACAUUAAGGUAUUAUAUAGCAUUGCUACUUUUUAUGCACUUCUUCACACUAAGCUGAUGUCCUUUUUGUUCUAUUUUCAGGUUCAGUAUCCAAGCAAUAUAGAUUUUGCACCAGUUGAAAUCCCAAGGUUUGACCAUCUAGCUGGUUUUUAAGCAAAUUGUACAUUUUCAUUCUGCAGACAUGAGAUUUGGUUUGAUAUAUUACAUUUUUCACUCUCGUUACUUGAUGUGUUCACUUUCUCUACUGAUGUUCUCUAUGGGGAACAGCUUCCAACGACAAUUCGUGGAUAGCAAACCAAUGAUAACAAACGGCAGUAACAACGAACCUGAGAGGCCAGUUGUGGAAUCAACUUCUACUCCAAGUGAAAAUAUCCAGAAAAAUUACACGGAAGAGCUUUCAUCCAUGAUUUCUUUCGAAGAAUCGGAAAGUGUUAAUGACAACCAUAUCAUCAGGCAACCUUCACCACCUCCAGUACUAGCAGAAGUUCAAGACUUGGCUGCUGGUUCAUGUCAUGAAGCGAUAGAAGCGGAAUGUAAGAUGGAUAACCCCUUACCUGAUGAGUCUCUACGGUCAGAGUCUCCUCUUGAACUCCAUAUUGUAAGUUUGCUAUAGCUCUUCCCUCUUUGUUGUUAUUCUGAUGUCAAAACUCAUGCAAACAUUAGGGAGAAAAGUGAAUUUAGAAUGCAUCCAUUGGUGAUUUGUUGUGAAUGAUUUAUCUUGCUCGUUUGUCCUAUAUGACUUCGACAAUACAUACAUAUCAUUUUUUUUUGUUUCUCACGUAAGCAUUGUUACAUUAUCUACAGAAAGAUAAAAUAGACUGAGAAAAAGUUUGUUAGCAGCCUCUGGUUCUAUGUUCAUUAAUCCAUUUGCCUUCGUAUUUUUGAUAAUAACCUUGUUUUUUGCAGGCGACAACAAUGAUGGAUACAUUUUUGAGGCUUGCCAAGUCAAACACCAAGAAGAAUCUAGAGACGUGUGGUAUUCUUGCUGGUUCACUAGUGAGUUGUUAUAUGCCAAUGGCCUUCUGUUUCUCAAAUCUGAAAAUUGCAUUAUUGAAAUGAAUCAGCUCAUAAUGAUUUGUGAAUCACAUGUUUGCAGAAAAACAGAAAGUUCUAUAUUACAGCUCUCAUCAUACCAAAACAGGAAUCAACAUCUGACUCGGUAAGCUCAGUUUUGUUUUGGUAUUUCUGCUAAAGUUAAGAUAUGCCAAUCUUAAAACACUUUUAUCUCGUUCUCUCUACAGUGUCAGGCCAUAAACGAGGAGGAGAUAUUUGAAGUACAGGACAAGCAAUCUCUUUUCCCACUUGGAUGGAUUCAUGUGAGUAACAUAUAUAUGUUUUUCUAUCUCCAUUUUUAACUUGCUUUAUUAUGCUUGAAGAUCGUUUUCAUUGGCGAAGUGGUGUCUUAUAUUUCUCUACUGACUUGUUGAUCACUGUCUCUAAUUCUUCAGACGCAUCCGACACAGUCUUGUUUCAUGUCAUCUAUCGAUGUACACACGCACUAUUCAUACCAGGUACGGAAAUAAUCGUUCAAAAUAAUUUGCAUAACACGAUGUCAACAAAGGGUUCAUCUCUUUAUGCUCUUAUACAAUGUUUUUUUUAGAUUAUGUUACCGGAAGCUGUGGCAAUCGUCAUGGCCCCGCAAGACUCUUCAAGGUAAUAAAGACCAAAACCUUUCUUUAUCUUUGAACAUGAAAUGAUUCGAGAACCAUAAUAAAUUGGUUCUGUCUUCUUAGGAAACAUGGAAUAUUCCGGCUGACAACGCCGGGAGGGAUGACGGUGAUAAGAAACUGUGACCAGCGUGGCUUUCACGCACACAGUUCGCCGGCAGACGGAGGACCGAUUUACAAUACAUGUACGGAUGUUUACAUGAACCCAAAUCUAAAGUUCGAUGUCAUCGAUCUCAGAUAGCAUCACUGGACUUGUGAGACUAUGGUAUCUUCCUUUUACCAUUUUAAUAUGAUCUACGUAAGCUUAUGUACAAUCUACAUGUGAAUUUGUGAAAAUAAUUCAAAAAACGAGAAAAAUUGAAGUAAUUGUAUCUUAUUAAACAAGCUCACAAUAUGUAUCUAAAAAGCAUGUAUCUGUAUAUUUAUGGGGAAAAUGCAAUGUAAAUCACAAAUAUUUGUGACUUAUGUCGUCUUCUGGUACAAAUGGGGAACAUGUCAUGUUCAAUUUCUCAAACACAAAUAAUGUUAUGUUAGUCACUUAAAUAACUUAAAAGUCUUAAUUAAGUAAACGGGUCAAGUUAGACUUGGCUUUAACAGAUGUUUAUUUGUGAUUUUUGUCGUCUUCUGAUUCGAAUGGGGAACAUGUCAUGUCCAACUUCUCAAACACAAAAAAAGUUAUGUUAAUCAGUUAAAUAACAUAAAAGACUUUAUCUAGUAAACGGGUGAAGUUAUACUUGGCUUUAAAACUAGUCUUUAAUAUUCACUUUCACCUUAUUUCAACUAAUACAAUUCUAUAUAUUAAAUCAUCUUUUAACCUUUUGAUAUGUUCACGUACGAUCUCUGGUGUGUAUAUAGAGAUUUUGUAGGACAUUGGUGCUACCCACAUCUUACCUGUCUCUUCAUUGACAAUUCAAAGUAAAGAGUCCUUUUGUAUCAACAAAAAACUUGGUAUUAUUCGCAAUAAAAUUCAUUGUGUUACAAGUAGCUUCUGUUAGAUAUGACCACUUCAGUCUGAUUACUAAAUGUGUCAUUAAGGUUGUGUCCAGUUCAAAAUAAUGCAGCAACCUAAAUAAAACGUUUGGUAGUAACACGAAAAAACACCCAACAAUUUGUAGACAACAAUCAAAAAAAAAAAAAACAAUUUAUCGAAACUCUCUGUUCAUGUAACCAUCUACUUCUUGUUCUUCUUCUUCUUUGAGUGACGUAGAAACGAUCCUGCUUCACCUUUCUUUCCUGUGUGCUUCUGAGGCCUGAAGUGAUAGUUGCAACAGACAGAGGAAGAAGAAGAAGUGGGAGAGACCCUAUGGUUGUUAACAUCUCUCAGCAUUGCUCUCUUUGAAUUAGUAACCGAACCUGUAGAGUUGCUUCUCGUGAGACGAGGAAACGAACAGAUCAGACUCUUCUUUAAGUCGCAGUUGAGACUCGAGCUUCUCUUGAAACUCCAAAACGACUUUGACGACUUCUCUGCUUCCGAGUCCGAGUUUGCACCGCUGGUGUCCUUCUCGCUGUGUUUUGGCGGUGAUGGUUGUGGAGGGAGAGGAGAUGGAGAUGGAGAAAGAGAGGAGGUAAUGGGAGGGAGUUCGUAUUUGUAGAGACGUUUUGGUGAGGUGGAAGGUGGGGUUACAUGGAAAGGGAGGAUCAUGCCGUCAGCGAAGAUCUCAUCGGCUGGUGAGGAGUCUCCAGGAUCAAAGUUGUUUGAGAUGUGGAACUCGAAAGAAGAGUUUGAUGAAUCAAGAAGAGAUUCGUCUCUUCGGAUAAGGGCUGGUGGUUCUAUCACAGGUGGUGGUGGUGGUGCGUUAUCUGAUUGGCCAAGAUCACUGGAGAAGGAAAUACGCUGGUGAUUUGACUCCGUGCAGAUCAUAUUUGGAAACAAAAGAACAAUGUCAAACUUUGCUUUCUUAGACCAAUGGAAGUUGUAAGGUUUGGAAUGAAACUCAUAAGUUAGUUGGUGGGAAGAAGUUUUUAAGUUUGGAAUAAAAUAAUAGAAGGCGUAAUCUGACUAAAGAUUGUGGUUAGGCACUCAUUACUUGUCUUCAGAGAAAGCAAUCUAUAUAUAUAAAGUAUAGUUUCCCUCCUUCUUAGCCUAUCCACGUCACUUGCCAAGUAAGAAAGUCGAUGUAGGAGACGGCACCACGUGUCCAGACACAUAAGUUUUGCGUUUCAUUAAUCUCCGCGUGAUGGCUUCUAUCGUUUGGUGGGUGAUUUGGCUUUGAUAUUGGUAAGUUUCUGGCCCAAUUAAAGAGACGUGACUCUCUGAAAUCGGAAAACGAAGAAGGUCUUCUCUCCUCUUCAUGUGACGGCAACCGAUGCCUUUUGCGAUUCUUAUCACCAUUUUGAACGGCCUGCGUAAAAGCUUCGUGAUUAACCACAUUGAUUCGCUCGCCCACUACGUCGUCAUCAAUGCUUCGUUUUGAUCUCAUAAGCAGUGAUUUCUGUAUAAAUAUGUGUGAGUAGUCCUCUCCUUGAUCUCAUCUUAUCUUCGUUAAGCCUAUAUCCCAUACGUUUUGCUCUUUAUACACGUUAGAACGAGGAUUAUGCGUCUCUGAGUCAAUAAUCUCUUUCGAUUUUCUGUGUUUGAUCCUUGAAAAUUUUCUAGGCUUCUCAGAUCUUCAGCUUUCUUUAUUUCUCCUCUGUAGAAGAGAAAGCGGAUAUCCACUUCAUUCAUUCAGACAGAGAAUAAGAACAAGACACACCGAAGCCAAACUAUCGUAACGAAGAUGGCCGUCGAAAAACUGAACACGACCGUGGACGGCGUCGAGAUACUGAAGCCGCGUACGGACAACAGAGAAUACAGGAAGAUUGUCCUCAAGAACUCUCUCCAAGUCCUCUUGAUCAGCGAUCCCGAUACAGAUAAGGUCUGAGAUCCCCCUCCCUCCCUCCGGUUUGAUUGAUUCAAUUUAGUUCUGAUUUAAUAAAAUUUGAUCCUUUAGUUCUGAUUUCAUAUUACUGAUUCGUAAAGUUUGAUCCUUUUUUUUAAAAAAAGUGUGCUGCUUCAAUGAGCGUUAGUAUCAGAUCUUUCUCUGACCCACAAGGAUUAGAAGGCUUAGCUCACUUGCCAGCGACCGUGAAUGUAGCCAGCUCUCCACAUUCAGGCACCGUCUCAAGGCUGGUUCAAUGUUCACACUCAGCGAAUUUGAUGUGGUUCGGUCCAAUCAGAACUUCAGGCUGUUCGACUCUCUUCUGACUAUUCUGUUCAGUUACUCACCCAAAUUUGAUGCCUUUACGGAACCGGUUUCUCCAAUUCUGGUUGAGCGUUUCAGGUUCCGCGAUCUCGAUUCUCUGCUUGGCCUAGCCAACACCAACACACACCUUCCAUGUGUAUCCUCUUAUAACCUUUCUUCCUAACUUUGUUACCGUAAGUUGCAACGUAUACUCCCUUCUGAUCCUUACUUAGUAUACAAAUAAUGGUAUAUGUUUCUGUUCAAGCAGGAUGGUGACGAUAAUGAUAGAGAUGACAUGCAUGGGACCAUCUCAGUCCUUACUAAGGUUGGUGUUUGUUUUAAUGACCAUGAGGAAUCAUCACCCGCAAGAACAACUGCAAGUGGUCUUGCCACCAAGAAGCUUCGGGUAUUAGCAACUCCGAAGGUGGUUAAGAAGGCACGAAAUGCGUAUCUGGAGUCAGUAUUUUCUAUUUGAAUAAUGCUUAGGCAUUAAUGUUUUUUUUUUUUGUCACCUUCUGGAAAUUGCUAUGUUUCCUAAACUAUCAUUGAAAUUGUUUUUUUUUUUUACGUUUUGACAAAAUUUACACAUUUCAUUAAGCUGCUGAAGAUAGGUAUACUGCUCAGCGCAUAAUUUCACGAUCCAAACAAAUACCGUUCAUGUAAAUAAUGAUAAGAUUUGAUGUAAUACAUGUAUGGUGUUUAAUUGUACAGUGAAUAAAUGUGCUUAUAAUAAAUAAGUAGCAUAGCACAUUUAACAUCCCUGAAACGAAGUGGGUACAAACGUGUAUGACUUGAACAUGCUAGCAAAACCAAAAGGUUAAAGAUGACAAAAAAAAAAAAACUCAGCCCGUUGAACAGAGAUGGUUUACCUGAAGAACAUCGAACCAUCUCCGGUGAAACUGUUUCCCGACAGAUCCACUGCGUUAAAGUCGUACUUUGACAACGAUUCUGGUACUUUUCCUGCAGGACAAUUGUAUUAAAACGCUUUAAACCGGUUUUUAAAUUUGAAAAUAACAAUAUGUAAUGGUCACAAAACAUUUAAACUACGAGACUAGUAUACAAUAAUACGACAUGACUAGAAUUUUAUAAACUAAUAAAAUUAAACCGAUGUUGCUUACCUGAGAGCUUAUUGUUAAACAAGUAGAGAUUAGGAACCUUGCCAACAAAAGAACCGAAAGAGUUCGGUAUAGAACCGGUUAACUUAUUGUCGUUGAUCUGAAUGGCAUCUAGCUUCGGCAUCUGAGAAAGCGAACCGGGAAUUGGACCGGUGAACUGGUUAAACGAAAGGUCUAAAAACGUAACGCUCUUGAGCUCGCUGAUGAAAUCAGGAAUAUAACCGGAGAGAUUGGUCUGCUUUAACCGGAGGAGGUCCAGGUACUUGAGCUUGGUGAUGGUGUGUGGAAUGUUCCCAGUGAGGUGAGUCAGGUAACUGAAAUCAAGCGUACGGAGCUCAAGAAGGUCGCCGACCUGGGCCGGGAUCUGGCCGGAUAUUUCACCGGAGGAGAUGGUGAGAGCGGUGACGCGGCCGUUGGUGCACUCGACGCCGGUCCAGGUGGUGCAGAAGUCGGUUUGGGGGUUCCAGGAGGAGAGGAGUGGAGGGUUGUUUAAGGCUUUCUUGAUUUGGAGGAGGGCAUUCUUGUCAUUUGAGGAGGAGCUGUGAGAAGAUGGGAGAGAGAUGAAGAGUAUGGUGAAGAAGAUAGAGAGGUGAAGAAGGAGCUUCAUUGUGAUUUUGAGUGGUUGCUUCUGAGUAGUGAGAGGAUGCUACUACUUCUGAUAUAUAACAGAGAAUUUCAGUGGAACACAGCUGUGUUAUGUUACUGCAUUUGUACAAACUACAAACUAGGGUUUUACACAACUCCCAACGUACAAUAUUAUUUUCUUAAAGUUUUGUAAUUCAUAAAGCGCGGUAAAUACAUAUUCAAUUUUUUAUUUGAAAUUUUGAAAGUUUGCAUGUGGCUGCAGUCACUCCACGAACACAAUAUGUGGCAUAGUGAGUACAAUCAUGUGAAUUGCCAUGCUGCAAUCAUUUCAUGUACAUGCAAUGCAAACGAUAAGUAUUUAAACAGUAUAUAGCCUCUCUUUUUUUGGGUCAAAAAACAGUAUAUAACCUAUAAGAAUGUAUCUUUACCCCAAGAUUAAUACAAAUUACAUGACAUUAUUCGCAAAGAACGAAAAAAACGUGUUAAACAUCUAAUGAUUAUGACAUGACAACGGAAUCCAAUGAGUGUGCGACAGUCUUUGUUGUGAAUCGAGACAAAAACAAUAAUACAAGUAAUACAAUGGGCAGACAAAUAAGUAUUAGUAGAGCCCACCACUUUCGAUAGCCAAACGAAUCUUAUUCCUAAAAUCAAAACAAAUGAUACAACACGAGUAAAUCAUUUACACAAAUACCACGUCCCUUUAUGUUACAAAGGUUAUAUAUAUAUCAAAAUAUCUAAAUGUAAUCUUGACAGGGUUUGAAUAAGUAUGUUACCGUUAGGAUGGAUGAUCCAUUUAAGGAUCAUGAUCAUAGAGAACAAGUGAUUAACACAAACUCAGCCCAAACUAAUAUACAGUUACCUUGAAAGGGAGAGUAAUGCAAGUAGUAUGAGAUGAACACUUGAAGAUGUGAUAGAACAAAAUCUUGAGAAAUAAAUAAAAAGAAGCAAUAACAUACAUCAAAGAAGUAUGUAGAUAAAGUUGUACAAAACUGAUGUUGGUUCAUGCAUCUAUAAAUCUGGAUCAUCUGGACUUGGAAAACAAAGGGUGUUUAAAUAUGACAUUUUCAGAGAGGAAGAAAACUAUGUGAACCUUGUGUGAUUUUUGUCUUAAAUGAAGCUAUCAAACAGCAUAUGAUAGCAAAAAGAUAUUGUAUGCAUUCAUAUAUUGUUGUAAACAUCUAAUCAAGAUAACACAUGAAACCACAAAGAUGAAAAAUCCAAGAAUAAGAAACUUUAAAAGAUUUUUUUCAAGAUCAUUAUUAGUAUAUGAUCAUGCUAACUUAGUAAAAAUUACAGCAGCAUAAUUUGUUUUAGUUCAAUAUUCAGGCGCAUAAAGUUGAGUGGUACAUACUCAAAAGUAAUCUUCAUAUUUAACAAAAACACUCAUAUCUGUAACACAAAUGACCAGAGAGAAAGUAACCACCUUAAAAAACAUUAGACAUUUGAAGUGUCUGUACAGAGAAACCUGUCCAACACUUGACAAAUGUUUUCAAAUGUAACUAUCGGCGAAACGAGUAGCAAGUUCUUGAACCGAGUCAUAAAACAUACUCAAGAAACCAGAAAUUACAAAAAACAAACAGCUGGGAGAUUACAACUAGACUGGUGAUGAAUACCAAUACUACAAUCUUCUAAACUACAAUCUUCUUCACGGACGAUCGCUACAUUUUCCAUCGCUUACAAUGACAACUUGAGAAUGUCUCAAGAACAGAUAAAACAAAAGAAGUUAUAACACCUUUAUCACGUUUCAAGAGCUUCAGGGACGUCAUAUGAAUCUAUCGUUACUUCUUCUGACAACCACAAUCCAGGAAAAAUCGUCUGCCCAAAAAAAUAAAAUAAUAAUAAUAAUAAUUAGCAAUUGAUUUUGAUUAUUUUCUCAGACCAAACCAUAAAGUUUUCAGACAAAACUUACAUUGAGUUUCUUCUGAACAGUUCUUGGUCUCUUCUUAGGUCUCCUUGGAAGUCUUUUCCCAAUCAUGUUCGAAAAAUCCUCUUCGAUCUCUUUCUUCAACAACGAAACCGAGAAUUUCAGUUUCUCAUCCUUCUCCAUUUCUUCUACAUCCAAACCUCUCUUCACGCCGAUUUCGAUCUUCGCCGGAGAUUCGUCUCCAGGUUCACUGCACGCAGCUCUUCUCGUCCUCAGAUUCCACGGCCGAGCCGCCGCUACGACGGAUCUGUUGGCUGCGUGAUCUGGAGAAGGAGAGGAAGAAGAAGAAGGAAGGUGAUGUGAAGGUAGAUUGACGCAUCUGAGGAAUCUCUGUUGACCCCAGCGGAGAUAAGGUAAGGUGAAGUUAUGGAGGCGUUUCGAUCUUUCUGGAGGAGGAGGCUCCAUUGAUGAAUCUUGCUCUUUUUCUCUCGUCUUUUGUUUAAGCUUCGAGCAGUUCAAAGUUUUUUCGUAUUUAUUCUCUCAAUUUCUUGUUUUGUUUUAAUAUUGUUGAAUUAUUGUAACGUUAUGCGGUUUUUUUGGGUAAGCUUUUUCUGCCUGUAAUAAAAUAAAACUAAACAAUACAGUAUCUGACUUUUUUUUUUUUGGUUAAUUAAAAUGACUAUCUUAUUAUGCUCAUCUCUAUAUGUCCUUCUAAAUUAUUCUUAAUUUUUUAAAUAGAUGCUUAGCAAACAUGUCAAGUAGUGUGAAUUUAACUAGUAUCAUAUAUGACAUGAGAAUGAAAUGGUGGUGGAUGUAUAACAAAAAAAAAAGUUGUAUCAAUACCCUACAGAGUACAGACACUCUUAUUUGAAAUAUUCUCAGUUGAAACUUUGUUAGUUUGUGUAAUUCCUUCCUAUGUAGUGUAUUUUCUAAAAUAUAUAUAUAUAUAUAUAUAGUAAUUAAUUUUUGAAACAUUUUAUUAUCUUCUGUUAACCAAAAAAAAACCCAUAACUUUGUUCAUACUAAACUUUGAGGAUCUAAUCAAAGGCUUUCUCUCCAUACACGAGAUGAUCGGUUUUUAGCUAUAGAUUAGGAGUUUUCCUCCAACAUGAACAGAAAUAAAAAUUUUAAAUAGAAUAUUAUUUUUUAUUUUUAAGUUUAUUACUUAUAAUAAAAAUUUUAUUUUGAGACAUAAUCAUUUUUUAUUUAACUUUAUUGGUUUAAAUAAAUAAAACCAUAAAUGUACUUUUGAGCUUUAAUUUUUUUUAUUUGGUUAAAAUUUUCACUUCAAUUUUAUUUAAAUUUUAGUAGCGUUAAGAUUAGAUUUUUUAUAUUAUAUUUAAUGAUUUUUUUAAGUUUUAAAUAUGUCUAUAUAUAGAUAUAUAACAUCCUAAUAAUAAAAUAUUCAUGCACCAUGCAAAUAAAUUAUAACUUUAAAUAUAAUAUUUUUUUAUAAAUUUGGAUAUUAUUAUUUUUAUAUUUUAAUUUCACCGGUCUAGAAAAAAAUAAAACCAAAAUGUAUUAUUUUAUAAUCUUAUUUCUUUUUGAUUUAGUAUACCUAUUUUACUUUGGAUUUAUUUAAAUUUCAAUAUAGUUAAGAUUACAUUUUAUAAAUAUAAAUUUUUUAAUUUGUAUUAUAUUAUAUUAGUUGAUAAGUUAUUUUAAAUAUGUCUAUAUACGAAAUUUAUAUACUAAUAAUAUAAUAUUCAUGCAUCAUGCACAUAAAUAAUAAUUUGAAAUAUUAUAUAUAUUUUAUCUUAAAAAAUAUUUUUUAAAUUUGGACAUUAAUAUUUUAAUAUUUUAACUUUAUCGUUUUGAAAAAGUAAAACCAUAAAUAAAUUUCAAUAGAAAUAAAUUUUUAUUUUUAUAAAAUAUUUUUAUUUUAAUUUAUAUUAUAUUGUAUCUAAUGCUUAUUUAUUUUAAAUAUUUCUAUAUUAAAAUUUAUAAAUUUUACUAAAUUUUAAAUUUUGUUUUUUUAGAUAAACCCAUUUUUUAUUCUAUUAUAUAGUGGAAAAUAGAGUGGGAUUGAAACAUUUUUUUUUUAAUUCUAUUUUAGAGUGAAAAUUAGAGUGGAGUUGGAGAUGCUAUGUGUGUAUUCAUUUCCACUAAUGCACAAACACCUUCAUGCCUUCUUGAGUUCCUCUCCUUCCACAGCAUAGACACGGAUGUCUGAAACACAGGCCCGAGAAGUACUGUGUCGAGUCUAUUCCAAGACGUGUGCAAGAGAGUGGUGAUAGUAUCUCCCCAGUCCGGUGUGAUUGUUGCACCAAGUAGUGAGAGGAUCGGUUUUUAAGCUAUAGAUUAUUGUAUUAUUAGAAAAUGAAAUUCAAAUAAAAUGUAAGUAAAGCGAAGAUAAAGAGCAAGAACUAAAAAUAAUAAUUCAAGAAUUUUUAAAGCAUAAGUUUCAUACAAAAUCAAGUCUGCUAUUAAUAAAGCAACAAGCAAAUAAUUAAAAGAUAGUGAGAAAAGAAAACAAGAUAAUACAAAUAAAACACACAUUUCUCCACAGUUACUUGGACCAUAUCAUGGCUUAAGCAAAAUGAGAUGCACUUAGUGUACUGAAGAAUCUAGCAACCACAUUUGUCUCCAAUACUUGUAAGCCUUCUUCAGAUGUGAUGCAUAUUGGAGUCUUGUAUUGAAAAAUCGAAGUACCCUUUGAGAUGGACAAGUUCAUAAGAGAAUCGAACGUCCCAUCGUUCACUACUCUUAUCUCGAGAGGCCCGACAAAUUCGUUAGACCGACAGUACCUGUAUUCAUCGUCAAAUGAAUCCUCCAUUACUGAACAACAUUCCAAGAAUGUCUUCUCAUCGAACUGGAGCUUCUUCAUGUCUUCGGUUUUAACAUUUACUUCCCAAUAUAUCACAUAGUGACCCGGAUCACUAGUGGAGAUAUCAGCAUAGCUGGUGAAAUCUACAAGCCUUAGAUCUGAUGGCUCAAGAACCAACUUUGCUCGAUUUAUUGCCUUGAACAAGUAUUCUUCAUUUGUCCGGUCCGUGUCAAUGCUUAACAAGGCGUUCUCUCUUCCUAGAAACCUAAACUGAGGUGCCUUGUUGUGGAAUCCAGUCACCUUUACCAUAUCUCCGAUUCUCAUUCUAUACAAACCCCAUAAGUUUGUGACCAGUAACUUAUAAGAAGAGCCGAGUUUAACGUCUGCCAGAUCCAAAACAUCACCAUCGUCUCCCUCCAUCGGUAUAAACUCAAAGUAAGAUAUGUUGGGCAUGAGUGUGUAAGAGAUAUCUUCAGGCUUACACAAAGGAGAUGUAUUAAUACCGAAGAUUGACUCGGACGAAGCGUAAAUUGUUGAGACAAGAGGCAGGUCACUGCAGUAAUGUUCCAACGUAGGAAUAUAUUGUGCCAUUGAACCUGUAAUAAUAGCUUCAAUGUAUUUAGUUUGUGGCCAUAGUUUUUUCAUUAUACCUUUCCAAGACUUUUGGCUGCAUAUACUUUCAAUCUCGUCUGAUAAAUUGGGACGGGGCUGACCACCAAGAACCAUAGAAACAGCGUUUCGACAACGAGAGUCGGUGAUCCACUCGCUGAGAUAACCUGAUCGGAUAUUCGAACACAGCUCCUUCCAAGAAUCUUCAAGAACUUUGAUUACUCGGACCAUACCUGAAGCGAAUGUGGAACUAAUUCUCACGACCUCGUCUCUUUGGACAAGACCACAUAGCAAAUGGCAAUAAAGGUUUUGCUUGAGGUCACUCCCUAACAUAAUUUCAUCAGGACUUGUAUAAGAGUAAAACCAAUUAGAUGGUCGAUUCUUGAAAUAGUCGCUCUUCAGGUACCAGCUUGUUCCGGGCUCAAUGGGUAAGCCACCUGGGGUUCUGGUCUCGUGCCCGGUUAAGAGAAAUACCAUCCCUUUUCCGUUCUCCACACCUUCCACAUGCCUAAACAUAAUAAUAAUAACAACAGAUUUAAUAUUUAAAUCCUGGACUUAUUUUCUGAUUUAGUAGAGAUGUCUGAGACUAGCUGACUAGUAUAUUAAUGUGAUAUACUUAUUGAGUUAUUGGUUAAAUGAUAAUAUAUUAUUAUUGAUUGAUAUAAUUGGUCUUUUGGUACAUUAAGUUAGUCGUGAUAGAUGUAUUGUUAAUAGUUGGUAGGUAUAUCCCCGAUGAGGUAGUUAUUUUGAUCAUAGUCGAUUUAUUAGGUUUGAUGGUAAAUGAAAAGGUUUGGUAGUUCUAUUUUUUUUUUGGUAGUUCUAUUUCAUUUUGAUCAUAGUCGGUUUAUUGGGUUUGAUGGUAAACUAAAAUGUGUGGUAAUUCUGUUUUUGGUGGUGAUAAACUUUAUACGUGAUUUAGAUAUGAUGAUAUUUUUAAUAGUGACGGUAGAUUUUUUAUAAUAAAGUAGUACACUUAUUACUGGUGUGUUAGAGCUAUUCGAUCUUUCGGGUGUACUAAUAACAAUUUUUAGUUGGUAGAUUUAUUCGUUACAAUGGUGGUACAUUUGCAUCGACAUUUUACGAAAAAAAAUUUGCAUCGACAGACUUUGUUAUAUAUUAAACAAAUGGUAGGUUUGUAUAUUUACAUAUAAUGAAAUCUAUACUAUUAAAACAGAAUUCUAUUGUCCUUUUACCUUAGCAUGUUUUUUUCUUUACUAACAUUGCAUGUUUCAUUAAGAGCAAUCAAGUAAUAUUAAUAACACAUCUAUAUUGGAUCAUUUUUUCGGAUUCAGCCCACAUAAGAUCUUUCUUGGGCCAUUUGGGUCGAUUAAAAAAUCAGUUAUAAUUUUCACAUUUUUUUUCCUUUGAGUAAUUGAGUCCAAGUUCAAAUAUUUUUUUUAAACUAUUCUUAAUUAUUUUUUUCUUUUCUUAAUAUAAUUUAAGCAUUCAUAAAAAAAAAUUUCUUUUUUUUCAUUGAAAAGUAUAAAUCUUUAUUAAAAGUAUAUAAUUUUUUAAUUAAAAUAUUAGCCACAUAACAAAAUUAAUUUAUCGGAGUUAUACCAACUUAAUUCAUUAAAAAAAUAAAGUUUAAUUUUUUAAACAUAAAUAGUCAUUUAAAAUGAAAUACGAUAAAUAAAGAUAAAUGUUUAAGUCUUUUAUAAAAUAAAACACAAAUAUAUAAAAAUAUGAUAUUUACAUAUGAUAUUUACUAAAUAAUUUUCAAUUGAAAAAUAAAAUAAAUCCGUGUUUUGAAAGCGCGAGUCAAAAUCUAGUAAUAAUUAUAUCUGAUGGCUGUAUAUAUACAUAUGAUAAAAUAUGUUUAUAUACAAUAAUGAUAGACUUGUAUGCAUGAUAUAAGACAGCCGCAAACGUGGUCGGUCUCGGUCUUGUACUUUUUUUUUUUGGGUCAAAGUAGUCGGUCUUGUACUAUCAUGUAAAGAGUAAGCGGAUAUACGAGAAUAUUAUCAACAAUGAUGAACAUACUUUUUUUUGAAACUUAUGAUGAUGAAACAUACUUGGUCGUGUUCCAAAAAAAAAAAGAACAUACUUGGUCAAAAAAAUAUUUUUACAGGAUUAAAAACAAUUUACCAUUAAUAAUAGUUUUUUGUUUGACUUGGUUUCACCUUUUUACCGAAAAAAUAAAUAAUAAAAAUAAUAUUUUUCAACAAAAUUCACAAGUGACAUAGUACCUACUAGAUAUUUUUUUACUACUAGGCAGGCCCGGCCUUGAAAUAGUUUGGGCCGGAAGUCCAAAAUCUAUAAAAAUAAAAAAUGUGGUUGAUAGCACUUACGCAUAUCGAACCCGUCAUCUCUCCUUGUAUUUAAUAGCCAUUAACCAACUACGCUACAAGAGAUCUUGUGAAAUAAACGGCCGAUAAUUUACUUAUUGUGAAAAAGGCCGGAAGCACAUGCUUCCAUGGCUUCCUCUCAAGGCCGCUACUGCUACUAGGUAAAAAGCUCGUUGGUCUCCUUAAAUUUUGAUUCGUUAUUAGUUUUGAUUCUAACCAAAAAUCAUGAUAUCCGUAACUCAACGAAGCAAAUCAAAUAUUAAUAUGCAAUAUCGUAAGAAAAGAAACAAAUUACAAAUAUUAAAAAAUUUAGAAAUGGAUAUCCGACCUGAUCCAAUCCAUUAUAUACAUAUAUGUAUAUACAUAUAUUUAAAGAAUUAUAUAUAUAAUUUAUAUAAAUAUUUUAUAUAUGUUUUACAAUAUUUUAUUUAUUAAAUUUAUUAUACUAGUUAUUAGAAUUUAAAAAGUAAAUAACUUUUAUUUUAUAAUAAAAUAUUUUUUGUCAUCAACUUAAACGUAAUAAAAUAUUGUUAUUUUAUAUUAUUUUCGCUUUUAUUUAUUUUUAUAAUUUAUUUGAUCAAUACAGAUCGAAUCGGAUAUCCGGUUAAAAAAAUUAUUUCUUGAAUAUCUGGAAAACCGAAGGUUUCAGGUGGCUAUGGAUCAAAUCGAAUCAGAUGGAAUAACAGAUUAUUCAGAGAAAAUGGCAACAAAACAUAUCAGAUUACUAAUACCUCAAAAACCUAAAUAUUCUAUUUGUGUCCACCACCCUAAUCAUGACAUACAUUUUGGAUAAUGCAAACAAAUCUAUCAUGAGAUUUAGUUAGAAAAGUCACAAAUGCAAAUGUCAACUGCAAACAAUGACAUAAAUGCAUGUCAGAAACGUUGGUUGCAAAAACAUUAAAGUAUUAUUUAUUAUAAAAAAUUUAUUAUUAUUAUUGUUAUUGUAAUGAUAAUGAUAAUGGUGUUUUGCUAUUAAGUAUGAAAAAGGUAUGAAAAUCAAAGUUAAAAGACUUUUACCAACUUCUGAUUUUUAGUAUCAACGUAUAUAUGCAGUAAAAUGCUAUACCCUCAGUUCCUUAAAGUUACAUAUUUUAGAGAAAAAAUUUGUUUCAAAAAGAUCCAUCUUUUACAUUUUCAAUGUAUGUUUUAUUAACAAAUUACAAACUUCAAAAAAUGUAAUUGCACUAAUUGAAUUUUUAUUGGCUUAAAAUUAUAGAAAAAAAGAUAAACAAAAAAAUAUAUACAAACUAAAUGUGUUUUAUUAAAAUGUGUGAAAAUUUUUGAAUAUGUAACUUUAAAGAACGGAAGGGAGUAUGCACUUACUUGCUUAUCACGUGCGCGAGAAGAUCAUUAACGAAUGCAUAGCCAUCCAAAAACUUGUUGUUUGAUGGUAGUAGUUUGUUUGCUCCUCCUGAAGUUCCCGAACUACAACAGCGGUUUCAAAGCAAUUAGUAACACAAAAAAAAGGCAAGGAAUACAAGGACCAGCUAGCUCUUAUAUUACCUCAUGAAGAAAUUUGUAAGGGGUAGGGCCGAUAUUAUAUCCGAUGACUCUCCAUUGGCGACACGAUCAAAAAAAGGUUUCACAUCUUUGUAGGUGACUAUUGGUAACUUCUUCUUGAAGAUCUCUUUAGCAGAGCUUCCAUGAAGGAAGUUUUGGAGAUACUCUGUUCCUGAGUUAAGUGUGAGUAUCUCUUUCAACAAAUCAUCUUGUAUUUGUUUCACAUUCCAGGUUAGGUCCUCGAGAACCUUUCCUUUUUCUUCCUCGUUGUAAUAAGAGAUUAUACUCAUAUUUGGUUGUUUCUAACUUCACAUGGAAUGACUUGGCUUUAUUUAUAAGGGGCUUCGUGUAUUUUGUUGGGGUAUAAAAGUUAUUAAUGUAAAGUCUACUUGAUUGGGGCUACAAGUCACCUGUCAUUAUUAUAUUGAUAAAUUACGACCCAGAGUGAGGGUAGCCAGGCUGGCUUAAGGCAUCUACGUCUAUCAGAUCAGGAUUCGUUCGUCAGCUACAUCCUACAUCACAUGAUAAAUAUAUUAUUUCUUCAUCGACUAACAACAUUACUAAAACAUGCAUGAUUGUUGCUAAUAUUUGCCUCACCUACUAUUUGACAUAUUAUAUUUUUUUGCCAUUGAAUCUACUUUAGAAAAAAAGCUGAUUAUUGUACAACUGUAUCUAAUUUAAUUAAAUCACUAACCACAUUCUCUGUCUUUUUUUUGUCACUGAUUAGAGUAUUCUUUGUCUAUAAACAAAAGUAGUUACGUUUUUCCUUUGAUUUAUCUUUCACAUAAUUUACAAAACAUUUAGAGAACAGAAGGAGAGUAUCAUUUAUGACGAUUGGUUAAUGAAGAAUCAGGAAAUCAUCAGGAAUACUCUUCAAACUAUUCGUAAAUUUCGAGUUCAACAACCUUGAUCUUCCUGAGUAACAGAAUAGAAACCCAGUUUGUGAAAAACAACCUCUACCUUAAAAAAAACUGCAAGCCUACUUGAUUACGGCAUUUCAAAGAUACAAGCCAAGUUAGUGAUUUUGAUUGCAUUAAGAUUCGAUCGCAGAAACUAGAAAAAAUUGUGGAAGAAGGAAAGGGGUAUUCAAAACCCUAAUUCCAAUUGAAUCCCCAACUUUGCCAAAAAGAUGCAAACACAAGCUGCAAAAGUGAGAGGUUUGGUGAUAUCUUCUGCUGGGAAACUUCAGCUAUUAAUACACCAAGGAGAAAGAUUUGCUGAUUAGUGUGAUUGAACCAGAGAGAAAGGUUACAAUUUGUGUGUCAUUUAGCCAUCCAAUGUUGAUAUAAAUCUAUCAGAUUCUGGUUGUGGAUACUUGAAAACUGAAGAUGGUAACCGGGACUUCUAACUCUAGUGGUAAAAGGCUUACAGCUGUGAGUACCGCCAUCUGGGUUCGAAUUCUGGCCACUGGGGAAUUAACAUUUCGGCAUCGCCAGGGACAGAGGACCGACACGUGACAAUACGUGACUAGUCUGGAUCACUUUUAUGGAGCCAGGAUACCUCUGUAUAAUUCAAAAAAAAAAAAAAACUGAAGAUGUUAUUCAACUGUGAAUUUUGUUUUGACAAAAAACAAACAGGUCAAAAAUAUUCAUAAUAAACAUGUACGUUUUGUAUUUGCAAUUACUUCAUUUAAAAUAGAUUAUACUCUCUCUGUUUUUAUUUGGGAAUUCGGCCAAAAAAAACCUCAACUUUACACGAAUUGCCAAAACAAACAUGAAUUUUGGGGCUGGCCAAAAAAACACCAAACUUUCAUUGACUUUAGAAUUAAUUAACAAUGUUUUCGUUGACUUGCCAAUUUAGCACGCCGUCAACAAAUUUAACAGAAAUAUUUGACGUCGUUUAUUGUUGACGUUAAGUGAAACGACGUCGUUUUCAAAUGAGAUGAAACGACUUCGUUUUACACAAUUUGAAAUUAAAAAUAUGUAAACCCCUGGAUUCGAACCCAAGUUGGUUGGUCAAAUGGGAAGGUAUUUUACCACUGGACUACUGGCACUUUCAAUGUACUUACUAACAUGUUUACUUUUAUUUGGUACAUAUUAAAUAUAAAAAAUUCUCUAAAAACUUAAUAAGAUCUUUAAAAUUCUAAAAAAUUAAAAAAUAAAGAAGAUUUUUAUAAAAUUAAUUUAGAAAUUAAAAUUAAAAAUAAAAUUUUAUAUUUCUUUUUAAAAAAUAAAAACUCUUUCAAAAUUUUCUAAAAACUUAAAAAGAUCUUUAAAAUUCCAAAAAAUUGAAAAAAUAAAGAAAUUUUUUAUAAAAUUAAUUUUGAAAUUAAAAUAGAAAAUAAAAUUUUAUUUUUUCUUUUCAAAAAAAUAAAAAAUCUUCCAAAAUUUUCAAUUUUUUUUAAUACAUUUGCUAAAAGUUGAAAUUAAUUAUACACACAUAAAAAGUUGAUAAUUCUAACUUUAAUUUUUUGCAUUUUAUUAUAAUUUUUAAAAAUUUGGAUUUUUUUUAAAAAAUGAAAAUUUUGGAAUUUUUUUUGAUUUUUUUAAAAAAAACAAAUAUUUAAUUUUAAUUCAAAAUUAAUUUUCUGAAAUUUUUGGAAGAUUUUUUUAUUUUUUUUAAAGAAAAAUAAUUUUUUAUUUUUUUUAAAGAAAAUAAAAUUUUAUUUUCAAUUUUAAUUUCAAAAUUUAUGUUAUAAAAAAUUUCUUUAUUUUUUUUCAAUUUUUUGGAAUUUAAAGUUCGUUUUAAUUUUUUAGAAAAUUUUGGAAGAAUUUUUAUUUUUUAAAAAAAAAUAAAAUUUAUUUUCAAUUUUAAUUUCAAAUUAAUUUUAUAAAAAUCUUCUUUUUUUUUAAUUUUUUUGGAAUUUUAAAGAUCUUAUUAAGUUUUUAGAGAAUUUUUUAUAUUUAAUAUGUACCAAAUAAAAGUAAACAUGUUAGUAAGUACAUUGAAAGUGCCAGUAGUCCAGUGGUAAAAUACCUUCCCAUUUGACCAACCAACUUGGGUUCGAAUCCAGGGGUUUACAAAAAGUGGCAGUAGCCCAGUGGUAAAAUACCUUCUCAUUUGACCAACCAACCUGGGUUCGAAUCCAGGGGUUUACAUAUUUUUAAUUUCAAAUCGUGUAAAACGACGUCGUUUCAUCUCAUUUGAAAACGACGUCGUUUCACUUAACGUCAACAAUAAACGAUGUCAAAUAUUUCUGUUAAAUUUAUUGACGGCGUGCUAAAUUGGCAAAUCAGCAAAAAUAUUGUUAACUAAUUCUAAAGUCAAUGAAAGUUUAGUGUUUUUUUGGCCAGCCCCAAAGUUCAUGUUUGUUUUGGCAAUUCGUGUAAAGUUGAGGUUUUUUUUGGCCGAAUUCUCGUUUUUAUUUAUAGGUAGUUUUAGCAAAAUAUACUCCUUGUUUCACAAUGUAAGGUGUUACAGAAUCCAAAGCAAUAAAAUAAUUUAAUCAAAAAUAUUUAACUAAAAAAUCUUUACUUUUCCCAAAAAAUUGAACACAACUUACAAUGAGUAAAUUUUAAAUCUAAUAGGUAGUCAACUACUAACAUUUACUAGUACCAAAAACGUGUCUUCUAAAUUCACUAUAAAUCUAACAAAUCUAAUGUAAAUGUCUUAUUCUAUCAGAUUUUCUUCUGAUUUGUUUUCUUCAGCCUAUUUUUUUCUUCAGAAAAUAAUGGAACAAAAUGAAGAAGAAAAUCAAAAGAAAACAAAACAGAAAAUGUUGAAAACAUCAACAAAACACAAUCAAACUUUCAUAAUUUUGAACUGAAACAUUUAAAUCAAAAUCAGAAGCCAUAGAAAAUAAUGAGUUACCAUUUCUGGUUUGACGCUUAAAUAAAGAUCAAAAGCUUUCCAAAAUUUUGAUUUUGGCUCCAUUGUUAAAUUUUGAGUUUUUAGUUCAAAUUAGUUAUACAAAAAUUGGCUUCAAAAUUAUGUUGUAAAAAUUUCUUAAAAACUCAAACGUGUGAUUUUUGGUAUUUCUGUUCACUUUUAAAAAAUUUCUUUUUCUUUAAUUCUUCUUAAGAAUGGCAAUAACCUCACUCUCCAAUUAAAUGUCCCAGCCUGACAAAAUGAGUGUGUUAUAAAUAAAGCAACAUGUUUUGCUUGCUGGUUUCUAAGAAGUUAAGAAGUCUUAAUCUGCGUACUUUUAUGUAAAACUACCUACAAAUAAAAACAGAGAGAGUAUAAAAUGUGUAAUCAAAUUUCGGUAAAAUGGUUAGACGAAGUAUAUUAAAAUCUAAGGAGUUACAUAAAUGUACGUUUACAUUUAAUAAAGUUUUGGUACUUUAUUUUCUUUUAAUUAAAUUAGUUUAUUUGAACAAGUAAUAAGAAUGGACAGAUACAUGAGCUUAUAAUGAAUGAACAUAAUUUAUUUUAUUUUAAUUAAAUUAGUUUUUUAUCCAUAGAUACCAAAGUAUCUAAAAUAUUUUUUUAUAUACCUUCAAAAAAGAAAUAGAUUUAGCUUUAAAAUUAUCAAAUAUUCUAAAAAUAUUACUUAUAAACCAAACAACCCUAAAUCGUGAUUACACUGUUACUUUUUAUCUGAAAUAUUUAAAAUUAUCUUAGUUUUCCCAUAGAACAAAAUUACCAUAAUAUUUUUUAUCAAAAUAUUUAGUUUAUUUUAUUUAAGUUUUUUAAAAAAUGUGAUCAUUCGAUUUAUUUGAAAUUAUCAGAAAACAGAAGCCAAAUCAGAACUGAAUUGAACUAAAAAAAAUCUUGGGUUCAUAACAUUGUUAUGGAGAACAUACUGAAAGCUAAAAUAAUAAAAAAAAACUAGACCAAAAUUUAUAAAUAACUCACCAUUCCUAUAUCUCUUGAAUAAAUAACAAUUACCACAACUGAACCGAAAUUGAAAACCAGAAAAAAAGAAAUCGGAAUCGGAAAAAAUGAACAAUCAUGCCUAAGAUAUUAGUGAAUAAGCAUACAGAUUAAUAAAUUUUUGAAUAUGAAAUAAUCUCGAGGUUUUGAAAGCACAGAUCAAAAUCUAACUUUUCAUUAAAGCCCAAACUUAGAAAACUACAAACGGUUUUGGAAAACACUAAAUCCAAAUAUACCAAAAAAAAAUAUACCAAAUAUUCCUUUAAAAUAAUAUUCUUCUUAUAAAAACAGAAAAUAAAUUAUUUAAUUUUUAAAUAAUUAAGAGGUUGUGAAAAUAUCAAAAAUCUCUAAAAUUUGACAUGUGGUAUCGGUGGUUUCCAAUUUUUCUUAUUCAUAUUGUUGGCUAUCUUUAUACCAAAUAUUCCACAUUAUCAAAUUUUAUUUUACAAAAAAAAAAACACAUUGUAUUUAUUCAAUUGUUGAAUUUUUUAUUGAGCACUCCCAUUAUAAAUGACCUAAUAUGAAUAUUUAAAACUUUUAAAUGUAAUGAUUGAUUAAUUAGUCAACCAAAAGCUGGUUGAUUAGGUAAAUAUAGACCAAAACGAGUAAAUAAUAGACGAUUGAAGAUAUAAAAUUGAACUCGUGUUGGAGCAUUGUUCCAAGAUUUGUUCUUGUUCAUUAAUUAAGUAAUAAAAGUUUAUUAAAAAAAUUAAGCAAUAGAAGGCGUCAUCAAUUGUUUGAAGCUUGGACAAUGCGAAAAUGGCCUCGAGCUUGGCUUUUUUUUCCCCAACACCAAAGCAAUCAACCAUUGCAUAUUCCUCUAUAUCGAGUAUUGGUUUGUAUGUUAUCAUCGAUUUUGUUUUUGCAAAAGGUAUUCAAUUUAAAAACACAAUCUGUUACAUGAUAAUUCUAAUUUUUUCUACUUAGAAAAAUUUGCAAGAACAUUUUCAUGACACUGAAGCUUCUUACUACAAAAGUGGUAGAGAUGAAUUAUAUCUCUCGGAUUCGGAUAAAACACAUCAAUUAAACAAAUUUUGUCCCACUUGACUAGAAGGCAUUUAAAGAUAUACACCAAUUUGGAGAGAAAAAAAAAGAACGAAUUCGGCUAUAAAAGGAAAGACCUGUACAAGUAUAUCCGAACCAUGGUUUCAGUAUGGUUGUCGGAUGAAUUAAUGCUUUUUCUGGUUAUAGGGUGCAGUCCCGAUAAAAGAAAUAUAUAACUCUUUUUUUUAGAAAAUGACGAUCUAAUUAUAAGCAUAUAUAUAUGCAUCCUUCUAGCUUAUUUCACUAAUUUUUGACAGAUGCUUAGAAAAAUAUAGUUGAUGUAUAGCAAAAAAAAAAAGGUUGUAUAAUUAUGUUACUGACACUAUUAUUGCUAUUUUCUUAAAUAUUCUCAACUGAAACUUUGUUAGUUUGUGUAAUUCCUCGCUAUAAAAGCAUCUCCAACCCCCCUGCACAAUUUAGUAUAAAAUAAAGUGGAGAAUGUAGCCAUGAACAAAAAAAUAAAUAUUACUACAUUUAUAGAGUAAUCACUUUUUUACUUGUUCAUGACUGCUUUUUUCACUCCAUUUUACAAUAAAUUUUGUAGUAAGGUUGGAGAUGCACUAAGUGUAUUUAAAAAAACUAUAAUAUAGUAAUUAAUUUUUAAAACAUUAUUUUUUUUUCCUUUUGCCAUUUGAUUGGCUCUUCAGCACAAAUUUUAAGUUUGGGUUUCGAAUUAGUAUACAUAUUUUUCUCAAAAUGUUCAACAUGAAAUUAUUAAGGCCUAUUAUCAAAAUCCGUUAUCUUCUGUUCAACAAAAAAAAAACCCCAUAAAUCUGUUCCUGCGAAGCCUUGAGGAUCUAAUCAAGCUAUAGAUUACGGUGUUAUUAGAAAAUGAAUUUCAAAUAAAAAGUAAGUAAAACAAAGAUAAAGAGCAAGAACUAAAAAUAAUAAUUCAAGAAUUCUUAAAGCAUAUAAUUGCAUACCAAAUCAAGUUUGUUAUUAAUGAAACAAGUAAAUAGUCAAAAGAUAGUAAGAAGAAAACAAGAUAAUACAGAUAAAACACACACAUUUCUCCCCCGUUUCUUGGACCAUAUAUCAUGGCUUAAGCACAUGAGAUGCUCUGAGAGUACUGAAGAAUCUAGCAACCACAUUUGUCUCCAAUACUUGUAAGCCCUCUUCAGAUGUGAUGCAUGUCGGAGUCUUGUAUUGAGUAAUCGAAGCACCUUUUGAGAUGGACAAGUUCAUAAGAGAAUCGAACGUCCCAUCGUUCACUACUCUUAUCUCGAGAGGCCCUAUAAAUUCGUUAGCCCGGCAGUACAUGUAUUCCUCGUCCAACGUAUCCUCCAUUACUGAACAACACUCCAAGAAUGUCUUUUCAUCAAGCUCCUUCAUGUCUUCCUCUUUAGUCUUUACUUCCCAAUAUAUCACAUAGUGACCGGGACUACUGGAGAUAUCAGCAUAGCUAGUGAAAGCUACAAGCCUUAGAUCUGAUGACUCAAGAACCAGCCUUGCUCGAUUCACCGCCUUUAACAAGUAUUCUUCAGUUGUCCGGUCCGUAUCAAUGCUUAACAACGUGUUCUCUCGUCCUAUAACCCUAAACUUAGGUGCCUUGUUGUGGAAUCCAGUCACCUUAACAAUAUCUCCGAUCCUCAUUCUAUACAAACCCCAUAAGUUUGUGACCAAUAACUGGUAAGAACAGCCGAGUUUUACGUCAGCUAGGUCCACAACAUCACCAUUGCCUCCCUCCGUUGGUAUAAACUCGAAGUAAGAUAUGUUGGGCAUGAGCGUGUAAGAGGUGUUUUCAGGCUGACACAAAGGAUCAGUAUUAAUACCGAACAUUGACUCGGAAGAAGCGUAAAUUGUUGAAACAAGAGGCACGUCACCGCAGUAAUGUUUCAGUGUAGGGACAUAUUGUGCCAUUGAACCUGUAGCAAUAGCUUCAAUGCAAACCUUAUGCAUAGGGAUGUUGUCAUGGGCAAAAAAACCCGGCCCGGCCCGAACCCAAACUAAACCCGCCCAGAAAAUACCCUAAACUAUAAAACCCGAAAAAAACCCGGUACUAUUAGGGUAACUCGCGAAAAACCCUAGAACUUUAGGGUUACCCACGGAUACCCGAAAAAACUCUUUUUUGAGUUUUGUGGUUUUUUAGUUAAAGUUUUAUAGUUUUAACUUAAAUUUAUAUGUAUUGAAUAUUUAAUUUUAAUCAUGUUUUGUAUUAAAUUUGAUUAAUUUUCAAUUAUCAAAUUUAUUUUCUGUAUAAAGUAACAAAUAAAAUUUUCAUCAUUCAUAAUUUUCAAUUUGCAAAUUUAUACUAUAUCCAUAAUGUAAGUAAAUAAAUAAGUUAUAGAGAGUGCAAAAUUUAAUAGUGGGCAUUGUAUGUUUUGAUUUAUACAUCUAAUUUUUGAUUUCAAUCAUUUAAAUCCUUAAAAAUUAGGGUAAAAGUCGUCCUUUCAAUUAUAUAUAUAUAUAUAUUUAAAAACCCAUAGGGUACCCGAAACCCGAUAGGGUAAAACCCGAACGGGUAAUUUAUAAAUCAAGACCCGCCCAAAAUAAACCCGCGAAUUUUGAAAACUGAAUAUACGGGUUUUGGUUUUUAAAUUCCAACAGGGUUUAGGGUACCCUAUGGGUAAAAACCCAUUGUUAACAUCCCUAUGCAUAAGGUUUGUGGCCAUAGUUUCUUCAUUAUACCUUUCCAAGACUUCUGGCUGCAUAUACUUUCAAUCUCGUCUGAUAAUUUGUGACGGCGCUGACCUCCUAGAACCAAUGAAACGGAGUUUCUACAACCAGAGUCGGUGAUCCAUUCACUGAGAUUACCUGAUCGGAUAUCAGAACACAAGUCCUUCCAAGAAUCUUCAAGAACCUUGAUUACUCUGACCAUGCCUGAAGCGAAUGUGGAACCAAUUCUGGUGACCUCAUCUCUUUGGACAAGACCGCAUAGCAAAUGACAAUAAAGGUUUUCCUUGAGGUCACUGCCUAACAUAACUUCAUCAGGACUCGUAUAAGAGUAGAACCAAGUAGAUGGCCGGUUCUUGAAAUAGUCGCUCUUUAGGUACCAGCUUAUUCCGUCCUCAAUGGGGAAGCCACCUGGAGUCUUGGUAUCGUGCCCUGUUAAGAAAAACAGCAUCCCUUUUCCUCUCUCCACACCUUUCACAUGCCUAAUCAGAACAACAACAACUUAUUUUUUUAUAAAAUAAAAAUGUAUCAUCAUGAAUUCUUGUUUGUUUUAUUAGCGCCAAAGUAUCCGCGCCAAACUAUUCCAAACUCUACUAAAUUUAUAGAAUUACUCUUUUUUUGAACAAAUGGAAACACUUAAAUUUAUCAUGAAUUUUACUAACCCUAAGACAUCUUUGCUCCAACUAGUAGUUAUAGGCUUAAACCUUAUGAAUUGAUUUUCAAAAGAACUUGCACAAACCCACAAUAGGAUAUAAUUGGGAGAUUGCCUAAAUUUUGGAAAGUUUUUUUUUGUUUGUUAAAAAGAUCUUUCAAAAUCAUUAAAAUAGAUUUUGUUUUCAAUCUCUUUUCUUUGUUGAUAAAAACAUCAUUACAUUUUUACACACAGACAACACUUGGAAAAAUACAAAUAAGUAUAUAUUUUAUCUUUCUAGUUAUGAUAAUUUAAUAUUAGGAUUAUACUUAUUUUGUAGACUUCUUUGGUAGAGAGUUUUGAAGUGAAAAUUUUACUUGUCAAAUGUAAUAGAAUUGUUAUUGUGAUAGAUUAAUUUAUUAGUUGAGUAGCAGACUUAUCUCAUAGAUUUUUAUGGAUUAAAAGAUUAUUUUGUCUACUGAUAUAUUUAUUUAAUUGCAAUAUCUUUUUUUGUUAAUAGUCGUGACUGAAUUAUUUUGUUUGAUAGUAAAUUAAAGUUGUGUAGUAAUUAUAAUAUUUUUGGUGGAUAUGAUAAUUUUUUUUUGGAUAUGAUAAUAAAUUUAUUUAUAAUGCUUAUAUAUAUAUAUAUUUUUUGAGAAAGGAUAAUGCUGAUGUAUUUAUAGUACUGUAAUAGCUUUAUUAGUGAUGAAUACAAAAAAAAAAGAUAGAACUAUUUGUUGACAAAAAAAAGAUAGAACUAUUUAAUAUUUUUGAGUUUACUAUAAUAUUUAUGUUGGUACAUUUAUUGGUUAUUAUUGUGGUAGAUUCACAACGAUAGAUUUGUAUAGUUUGUUAAAUUGAUAGUAAAUAUAUAUAAUAUUUUGAGUUUACUAAAAUAUUCACAUACAACGAUUGUAGAUUUGUAUAUUUACAUACUGGGAGAGUAGAUUAAUAUAUUUAUAUACCUAUAGUAAUUUUGUAUGAUACAUAUAAACGAUAGUCGGAAACACAAGCUGAUAUAUAUGUCUACCAUCAUUUAGAAAAUAAAUCAAUAUACAAAUAUUUUUUAGAUAAUUAAAACAAAUUUACCACAAAUACUAAUAAAACCUUUUAGAGGGCAUAACAUUCACCGCUAAUCAUCACAUACUUUUGAUAAUGCAAGUAAAUCUACUUUAGAUCUAAAAGUAUCAAAUACAACCUGCAAAUGAUUAUCAUAAAAUGAGGUCACAAAUGCCGAUUGCCAAAAAAAAAAGAAUAAGUGUUUUUACUAAAAUAUUAUUUUUGUUAUUAUUAUACUGUAUAUUAUUACUAUUGUAAUGAUAAUGAUCCAUAAAUUUAUGAGUAAUUAUCUUUAAAAAAUUAGGCAAAACUCCAAAACUGAUUUAUCCUGUCUGUCUCUAUUUCUAAUGAAGUGGCAUCGUAAGUAUGCCUGAUUUACUGUAUAAUUCCCGCAUAUUCCUAAGGUUAGCAAUUUUGUUUUUCAUAAACUUCCAUUCGGAUCAAUAACUGACCGAAAUUCAGAAAUCGAAUAUACAAUUUUAUUUAUUAUAUUUAAGAAAAUUUUAUAAUCAUUCAUGAAUCUGAUGUUUUUAAGUAUUAACAACUAUCUACAAUAAAAAUGCUAUGCACUCUUACUUGCGUAUAACGUGCGCGAUAAGAUCAGUACUGAAUGCAGAGCCAUCCAAAUACUUGCUAUUCGAUGGUAGUAUUUUGUUUGCUCCUCCAGAAGUUCCCGAACUACGACAACAGUUUCAAAGCAAUUAGUUUUAUAUUACCAAUAGUCCAAUACCAAAAAAGCAAGAAAUUCUAGGGCAAUUUAGCUCUUAUUUACCUGUUAAAGAAAUUUGUAAUGGGUAGGGCCGAUAUUAUAUUCGACGACUCUCCAUUUGCGACACGAUCAAUGUAAGGUUUCACAUCUUUAUAAGUGACUAUUGGCAAGUUCUUCUUGAAGAGCUCUUUAGCAGAGCUUCCAUGAAGGAAGUUUUGGAGAUACUCAGUUCCUGAGUUAAGGGUGAGUAUCUCUUUCAACAGAUCGUCUUGUAUUUGCUUCACAUUCCAGGUUAGGUCCUCAAGAACCUUUCCCUUUUCUUCCUCGUUGUAAUAAGAGAUUAUACUCAUAUUUGGUUAUCUCUAACUUCACAUGGAAUGAUUGGGCUUUAUAGAUAAGGCUACAUGAUUGGGAGGUUCAAUUCACAUGUCAUUAUAAUAUUAUAUAAAAAUUACGAUCCACAGGAGGCAGCUAAGGUGGCUUAGCUCUGUUCUAAAAAAACGACUUGUACUCAGGGGCGGACCCAGAAAAUAAUUUAACAUGGAGCACUAUAUAUAUAAAUAAAUAUCAAUUAUAAAUAUUAUAAUGUAUUUUUAAUUACAUUAAUCUUUUAAAUUUUGCAUUCAUUUUAAAAUGAAUUAAAUAAAAAUGAUAAACAUUUGUAUAAUAUUGAAAAGCAUAUUCAUUGUAGUUGUUAUUUUGAUUUAAGUUUUGAAAAAAAAAUAUUUACUUUAAUUUAAGUUUGAUAAAAAAAAUUGUUAAUGUAAAAUAUAUAUAAAGUGACUUUUAUUUUAGAAAAGGUAAAAAUCUAAUCUUAAAGAAAAGGAAUACAAAUUUUUAUUUUCUACUAGUAACAAAGAAACAAAGGAGAACAAAAAAAAAGAAACAAAGGAGAAAUAACAAAUCUUUACAGGUAAAUACAAUAUAAUAAAUGUGUUAAAAAAAUCAGGAAAUUAAAAACAAGCCUACGGCUCGUCACGAGUUAUAUGGGGCACUGUUCAAUCAUUUAAGCCCAAAGAGCUGGUAAUUUUCAUUUGUGUCCACUUCUCUACAAAAUUUUUAAUAAAUUAGACUGUGGCACGUGCCACACUUCCUAUAGGCGUGGGUCCGCCCCUGCUUGUACGGCGUACAUGCACGUCUAAACGCUGUGGGUUAGUUAUCUGUAAACCAAUUUUUCAAACAUUUGGCAAGUCUUAAUGGGCUAUAUCAUUUAAUAAGCACAAACUAGGUAAAUUAAAUAAUGAUUAUAGAUAUUGGUUUAUAGGAUCGUUAGUAAACUUGAUUUACAUUUCAUCACGCGCAAGGCGCUGAUUAUCACCUAGUUAUUAUGUCGUUGGAAAAUGAAAUUCAUAUAAAAAGAAUUCGCUACAAGAAAACUUGUAAAGUUCAGGGAAACCAAGAGCAACAACUAAGGAUAAUACAUCUGAGAAUUCUUAAAGCAUAAGUUUCAAAGAACAUCUUAUCAAUGAAGCAAUAAGCAAAUAGUCAUGGAUAGUAAGAAAAAAAAAUACAAGUAAAACACAAUUUUCUCCAAUUUCUUGAACCACGGCAUGAGUUAAGCAAAAUAAGAUGCACUUAAAGUACUGAAGAAUCUAGCAACCACAUUUGUCUCCAAUACUUGUACGCCCUUUUCAGACGUAAUGCAUGUAGGAGUCUUGUAUUGAUUAACCGAAGUACCCUUUGAGAUGGACAAGUUCAUAAGAGAAUCAAAACUCCCAUCAUUCACUACUCUUAUCUCGAGAGGCCCAACAAACUCGUUAGACCGACAGUACCUGUAUUCAUCAUCAAAUGAAUCCUCCAUUACUAAACAACACUCCAAGAAUGUCUUUUCGUCGAACUUGAGGUCCCUAAUGUCUUCGUUUUUAGCCUUUACUUCCAAGUAAAUCACAUAGUGACCUGGACUACUGGAGAUAUCUGCAUAGCUGGUGAAAGCUACAAGCCUUAGAUCUGAUGACUCAAGAACCAGUGUUGCUCGAUUCAAAGCCUUGAACAAGUAUUCCUCGUUCGUCCGGUCGGUAUCAAUGCUUAACAGUGUGUUCUCUCUUCCCAUGAACCUAAACUGAGGUGCCUUGUUGUGGAAACCAGUCACCUUUAACAUAUCUCCGAUUCUCAUUCUAUACAAACCCCACAAGUUUGUGAUCAAUAACUGGUAAGAACACCCGAGUUUGACAUCUGCGAGGUCUACAACAUCAUCACUACCUUCCUCCACUGGUAUAAACUCAAAGUAAGAUAUGUUGGGCAUGAGCGUGUAAGAGAUAUCUUCAGGCUUACACAAAGGAUAUGUAUUAAUACCGAAGAUUGACUCGGAAGAAGCGUAAGUUGUUGAAACAAGAGGGAGGUCAUCACAAUAAUGGUUCAGUGUAGGAACAUAUUGUGCCAUUGAACCUGUAAUAAUAGCUUCAAUGUAUUUAGUUUGUGGCCAUAGUUUUUUCAUUAUACCUUUCCAAGACUUUUGGCUGCAUAUACUUUCAAUCUCGUCUGAUAAAUUGGGACGGGGCUGGCCUCCAAGAACCAUAGAAACAGCGUUUCGACAACCAGAGUCGGUGAUCCACUCGCUGAGAUAACCUGAUCGGAUAUUCGAACACAGCUCCUUCCAAGAAUCUUGAAGAACCUUGAUUACCCGGACCAUACCUGAAGCGAAUGUUGAACCAAUUCUCAUGACCUCAUCUCUUUGGACAAGACCACAUAGUAAAUGGCAAUAAAGGUUUUGCUUGAUGUCACUUCCCAACAUAACUUCAUCAGGACUCGUAAAGGAAUAAAACCAAUUGGAUGGUCGAUUCUUGAAAUAGUCGCUCUUCAAGUACCAGCUUGUACUGGACUCAAUGGGCAAGCCACCCGGAGUUUUUGUCUCGUGUCCGGUUAAGGAAAAAAUCAUCCCUUUUCCUCUCUCCACACCUUUCACAUGCCUAACAGAACAACAACAAAAUCGUUUCUUAAGAAUAAAGAUGUAUGAUUUGAGUAAUUAUAUCUCUUGAUAAAUUAACAAAAAAAAAUCUCGAAUAACUAGGCAAAAUGUUUAAACUGAUUAUCUUGUGUUUCUCAAUUCUGAAUGAGUUAUCAUCUUAAGUAUGUCAAAUUCUUCGUAUAAUGCCAACCCAUGUUCUUAAAUGCGGAUUAGGCGUUGGUCGACCACCUUUGUCUUAUUUUCCUUCUGUGUUUACGAAUACUGUCAUUUUUAUAUUUUUACACAAAUUAAAAAAAAUGUAUUUAUGCUCUUAGCAUUUACACCUAUUUAGUUAAUAGAAAUUUUGAUAAAAAAUAUUUAUUAAAUCAAUAAUUUUUUCAAUUAAUAUUAAUUUUAAACUAAGUAUAAAUUCUGCUGGAAUUCUAAAAUGACAUUUUGUAUAACAAAAAAAUUGUCAAAAUGAAACUCUUUAUAACAUAUAGGGAGGAUUAUACAAUAUUUUAUGCGGAUUUAAAUAAUCCAAACGCAUAAUAGCGUUUUAAUGGGAAUUAUACAAACACAUAGACAUAUUUUAAGCAUUAAUACUUAAUAAACUAAAAUAAUUAUAUAUUUAAUAAGGAGUAUGAUUUAUAUUAAUUAUUAUUUAGUUUAUGUGUUUUAAUCUAUUAAUUUAAAUUAUUGUUAAAAUUAAUUCAUAUUUAUAUUUUAAACAUGUUUUAUAAUUAAACCCAACUCUAUAUGUUAAAUUAUAUUUUUAUACAUAUAUUUUAUAUUUGAAGUAUAUUUGAUUUUUGGUUUUCAAAAAUAAUAAUAUGUAUAUAAUAUUAUUUAUGUAAAUAUAUAUACUCCCUCCGUUUUUCAGACUUGAUAUUUUAAAGAAGUUUUUUUGUUUCAUAUUUAAUAAUGUUUUCAAUUUCUAAUGUAACAUUUCUUAAUAUUUUUUAUAGUUAUUAGCAUUUAUAUUAUGAAAUCUAUUUUUUAUUUUUUUAUAUGGGAUUAGAUGAAUACUUAUUAUUGUUUUUAUAUUUAAAAUAUAAGAAAAUAAAUAGUUUUUUAAUCUUUGUGGUAAAACGUCAUUUAAGAAUAAACAGAGGGACUAUAUAUCUAGGUCCGGUCUAGAAGUGAUGUUUGGAUACCCGUUCGAAUCAGUAUUUUGGGAUUUGGGGUAUUUUGGCAUAGAGAUAUAGAAUCCAUUCGAGUAUUUUUUUAUACUUCGGGUAGGGUCCGGGUAUUUGUAGUUCUGAUAAUUUAGGUUGGGUUCGACUAUUUAUAGUUACUUAAGAAACUACAAGAGCGGGAUGAAUAUAACUUAUGAAAAAAAAUCUCAAUCAAAUAGUAAUGUGUAUAAUGUAAGAUACAAUAAUCUCUAUUAUUAAAAGAAAAGUAACAUUUAAAAUUGCCCUUUAGUUUUCAAACUUAUUUACAAUUCCAUGACACUGACUAAUUAUUAAACUGUUUAUUUUAAUGUUUGUCUUUUUUUGUUUUAUUAAUGCAUUUUCCUAAAUUGAAGUACAAGAAAUUAAGUGCCAUUUAUUUCAGCAAUACUUUCUAUAAUCUAUCUAAAUAUUAAACUAUAAUUAAUCAAUGCCGAAAAUGUAAAAAUAUAUCCAUUAUUAUGGGUUGGUUAUUUUUAACUUUGGUUUAAUUAACUAUGUCGAAAAAAACACAAGAAAAUGUUAUAAAAUACAUAAUCUAAAACAGAAAGUGUAAAUUAUAUAUUGAUUUUUAUAUCGUAUAAAUCAAAUAUAAUCAUAGAUAACAACUUUAUUUUACAUUAAAAUUUUGAUCCAUAAAAAUACAUUCGCAUAAACACAAGGGUCAUAUUUUAAAAAUAUAGAUGAUACAAUUGACGGAUCAAAAAAUAAAAUAAAAUUAUUCAUUAUUAAUUAUCAAAAAGCUAAAAAUUAUUUAAUACAUAUAAAUUUUAAAUAUAUAUAUUUACAGUUAUACUCAUUUCGUUCCAAAAUAAAUGAUGUUUUGAAGAGUUCUUAAUGUUUCAAAAUACAUGAUGUUUUGGUAUUUUAUAUUAGUUGUAGUUUUAUUGAAGAUUGUGUGACCAAUGAUGCUUUCAUAGUUUUUUUUGAUGAUUGGUUGAAUUAGUUUUUAUUUAUAUUUAUAUUUUAAUUUUUAGGUAGAAGUCCAUACCUUAGUUCUUGUGCAUUGAAUCAAAACAUUAACUAUUUUGAGACGAAAAGAGUAUAAGAUAUAUAUGUAUAUACUUUAAGAAAAUAAAAAUAAAUAUCGGCGCAGGUGGAGGAUCAAACUCUAGUAUAGUGUUAAGUAAACAACAACAAAACAGGCGGUUAACCAAAGAACAAAGCAUCAAUUACUAAAAGAUAAAGAGCAAUACUUCACCUAAACAACCUUAGAAAAAGAGUGUAUGCUUCAAUAAAAUUAAAAGGUGUGGAGAAAUAAAAGACUGAACCAUUAGAUCCACGGCGGAGACGAGUUAGGUUUAGCGUGAACUGUAGGGCCGAAAUCGGCAAGGCCGCAAUUAGAUAUCCGAAUUUUCUUUUAUUUUCUAUACGAAACAUUUAUUAUCAAUCAUGAAUCUGAUUUUUAGCAGUGCCGGCUUUGACCAUGUGCUGGCAGUGCUUUUGCACAGGGCCCCACUUAUCUUUGGUAAAUUUUCUUUAUAGUUUAAGGCCCUUGAAUUUUGAUUUUAUACAAAAAAGACCUUAAAUUUUUGAUUUGUACAGCAAAAGAGGGCCCUAAAAUUUUUGAUUCUGCACAGGGCCUAUGUAUGCUCUGGGCCGGGCCUGAUUUUUAGUAUUAGUAUAGUUAUAUGCACUUACUUGCUUAUAAUGUGCACGAGAAGAUCAUUACUGAAUGCAUAGCCAUCCAAAAAUUUGUUAUUUGAUGGUAGUAUUUUGUUUGCUCCUCCAGAAGUCCCUGAACUAUACAACAAUAGUUUCAAAGCAUUUAGUCUUAUAUACACCAUUACUAAUACCAAAAAAAAAAAAAUUAACUCUAGAACAAACAAGCUCUUAUAUUACCUCACGAAGACAUUUGUAAUAGGUAGGGCCGAUAUUACAUCCGAUGACUCUCCAUUGGCGACACGAUCAAAAAAAGGUUUCACAUCUUUAUAGGUGACUAUUGGUAACUUCUUCUUGAAGAGCUCUUUAGAAGAGCUUCCAUGAAGGAAGCUUUGGAGAUACUCAGUUCCUGAGUUAAGUGUGAGUAUCUCUUUCAACAAAUCGUCUUGUAUUUGCUUCACAUUGGAGGUCAGGUCCUCAAGGACCUUUUCUUUUUCUUCGUCGUUGAAAUCAGAGAUUAUACUCAUAUUUGGUUCUCUAAUUCACAUAGAAUGGUUUAGCUAUGCAAGGCUACAGGAUUGGAUCUCCAAGUCACCUGCCAUUAUUAUAUCAAUAAAUUACGACCCAGUGGAGACAGCCAGGCUGGCUUAGUGCAUCUACGUCUGUUUGGUGAGCAUGUGGUACACGGAAAAACAUGCUGGGUUUGAUUGAUUAUAUGUUAAGAUAGUGUUACAAAAUCGUUACUAGUAUAAUGUAAAAAAUCAGAAGUUGAUCUGCGGGCCCAUGCAAACAUUUGUUUUUGUUAUAGCUUUUCUAUAGACCCGCUUAUUGAGAGUAACACUUUUUGUUAAAGAAAACUCAUAUAAUCACAUAAAGGUCAUAAAGGUCACAUACAAUAGUGUUACAUAAAAAAAAAAAAAAAAAAACUCAUAAAGGUCACAUACAAUAGUGUUAUACAGCCUCUUGAAAAUGUUUUCAAAUCACAGCAAAACGGUAUAGUUACCUUCCAAGCAUUCUCCAUGCUUUGUUAUGUGUUGUCUAGUUUGAGUUUCUCAGCCAAUUUACAAAUAGCUCGCUUGAUGCAUUAAAGUUGUUACGUUUGGAUCAUCUUUGUAAGAUACCAUGGUUACCUUUAUGCUCACAUACGAGUAGAAUACAUAAAUGAAUACAAAGACAAAGAGUAUCUAAGAACAAGAACUUAUGUAAGUACUAAAAGUAUAUAAUUUCUUAGAAGAAUUUGGAUCUUCUUGUCCUUGGUCUUUUUUAUAGAACUUCAAGAAUGGAUCGUAAGGGCCACGUGAUCUCCAGCGUGGAUUACAUAUAUUUAUGGUCGUCUCCAAUGUUUUGACAUCCGUUAUACUAUAAGUUGAAUAUUUCAUCUCAGCGUGGGCCUUCUCUUAAGCUUGGUAUGGGUCUUGGAUCUUCGUAAGCACAUUGUCUUUUUGUGGACCUAAAAGGUACUGGACCAAGUUCUCAGAUCGGUAUGGAGCGGAGCGAAAUCCGCCUAGUCAAAUAUCUUCAACAAAGCUACAAGAGAAUCACGAUGGGAAGAAAGGAAAAACAAUACAGUCUUGUCGAAGAAACAAAGAAGGGAACAAAGGAGAAAGAGAU
rnacentral:lncRNA from 1 species